rnacentral:antisense_RNA from 1 species
UUUGAUGGCAGUUGUGCGCAGGGCACCUUCGGGUGCGCCGGUUUUUGCUAAACCUCCCGGUCUACUAACCUGCGUACAGCUGCCACCCUU